UGAUUUGGUGUUGUGGGAGAAAGAAGAAGAGCAGGCAUGUUCUCUGUUUCUACAUCCAGCGUCCACAUGGCUAGAUCGACGGGUCUAAACUCUUGAAUACAGAAAGAAUAAGCUACUAGCAUUCCUAAUGUGCAAGUAAACCUACUGGGAUUAUGACUGCAAAAAAAAUUCAUGACAUAUGUUGAAGUAUGGCCUUGAAAGGUAAGUUGGAUGGCUGGAGAUGCUCAAAAGAUUUGACAAAGAGAGAAGAUAAGAGGGAGAGAGAGAAGGAGAAGAGGGAGUACUCGAUUCGAUCUGCAGGAGAGAGAGAAGAUAAGAGGGAGAGAGAGAAGGAAGGAGAGGAGGGAGAACUCCGUUGCCGCCGCGUGCCGUACUUCUGGAUCGAGCGCUGCCUGACCAAGGGAUAAGAGUAGGAGAUAAAAACCCUAGCCACCAUGCUCCUGUGCGGGCUGCAUCCCCGCAUCUCCCGUUUCAUUAUUUCACCAUCACUGCCUCUUCUC